rnacentral:rRNA from 1 species
ACCUGACUGCUAUCGGAUUGAUACUAAGCCAUGCGAGUCAUUGUAGCAAUACAAGGCAUACGGCUCAGUAACGCGUAGUCAACCUAACCUAUGGACGGGAAUAACCUCGGGAAACUGAGAAUAAUGCCCGAUAGAACAUUAUGCCUGGAAUGGUUUAUGUUCCAAAUGAUUUAUCGCCAUAGGAUGGGACUGCGGCCUAUCAGUUUGUUGGUGAGGUAAUGGCCCACCAAGACUAUUACAGGUACGGGCUCUGAGAGGAGUAGCCCGGAGAUGGGUACUGAGACACGGACCCAGGCCCUAUGGGGCGCAGCAGGCGAGAAAACUUUGCAAUGUGCGAAAGCACGACAAGGUUAAUCCGAGUGAUUUCUGCUAAAGAGAUCUUUUGUUAGUUCUAGAAACACUAACGAAUAAGGGGUGGGCAAGUUCUGGUGUCAGCCGCCGCGGUAAAACCAGCACCUCAAGUGGUCAGGAUGAUUAUUGGGCCUAAAGCAUCCGUAGCCGGCUCUGUAAGUUUUCGGUUAAAUCUGUACGCUCAACGUACAGGCUGCCGGGAAUACUGCAAAGCUAGGGAGUGGGAGAAGUAGACGGUACUCGGUAGGAAGUGGUAAAAUGCUUUGAUCUAUCGAUGACCACCUGUGGCGAAGGCGGUCUACUAGAACACGUCCGACGGUGAGGGAUGAAAGCUGGGGGAGCAAACCGGAUUAGAUACCCGGGUAGUCCCAGCUGUAAACUAUGCAAACUCAGUGAUGCAUUGGCUUGUGGCCAAUGCAGUGCUGCAGGGAAGCCGUUAAGUUUGCCGCCUGGGAAGUACGUACGCAAGUAUGAAACUUAAAGGAAUUGGCGGGGGAGCACCACAAGGGGUGAAGCCUGCGGUUC